UCUCCACCUCCAUCAACAAGUAGGGCUUUGAAAAGAGUUGGCUUCCUGGCAAACAUCAAAUACACCCGUUCUAACCUAAUGUAUUUGAAAUGGAUACUUUCCCAUGAUGCACCUGUUCUCACUGCAGGUCCUCCAGUGGUCUAUGAGUACCUGACUACUAUCGAGCUGCAAACCACAAAUGUUACAGUGAUAGAGGAACUGAGGAUUAUCCUGGAUAACAUCAGCUACCCCUUCCCCAUCGACAGCAACAUACUGAUCUCUGAGGUCAACAUCACCACAGUUUGCUCUCCAUUCGGGGCUGGGUUCCAAUGCACAUGUGAGGAUCCGUAUCGCUGGCCAUGUGACAAGUGUCUUCUGCAUGGGUCAUGUGACAACAUCACUGAUGAGACGUGUGGAUGCAUCAAUGCCCUUCCCCCUGAUGAAGAAUACUGCCAGCUCUCCCAACUCAUCAAUACAACUUGUCCUAUCACGACUUCUGCACCUCCGUCCACAACUUCUACACCUCCAUCAACCACUUCUCCACCUCCAUCAACCACUUCUCCACCU